rnacentral:tmRNA from 1 species
GGGGCUGCAAUGGCUUCGACGGGGAUGAGGAAGCUUGAGAAGCGAGUAGCGGAUGAGUCAGCCGCUUUAAAAAGGCUCAAAUUUUUAAAAUAAACGCUAACGAUAGAGAAUUAGCUUUAGCUGCCUAAGCAGCUUCGUCUCCCCUGUGAGUACCACGGCACAGGCUGAGGCGCAUACCAGUGGUGAACGUGCGUUGGAGAGCGUUCCGGCUCCUUCCAUGAAUUAGGAACUACUGAUACCGCUGCUUUGACUGCGGAGCUGCGGUAAAGGGAAUGUAAAUCACAGUCUGCACUCGGAGAAACUUGAGUGGAUUUGUUUUCGGACACGAGUUCGAUUCUCGUCAGCUCCACCA